CGCGUAGGCGGUUUCGGAAGUCAUGGGUGAAAGUCCUGGGCUCAACCGAGGGAUUGCCUGUGAAACCACGGGACUGGAGUGCUGGAGAGGGAAGUGGAAUUCCCAGUGUAGCGGUGAAAUGCGUAGAUAUUGGGAGGAACACCGGUGGCGAAGGCGGCUUCCUGGACAGACACUGACGCUGAGGCGCGAAAGCCAGGGGAGCGAACG
rnacentral:rRNA from 1 species